UUGCCAACAACCUUAUACCUUCAACACAUGAUGACUAAUGUUGUAACUAGAAAAUUUUACAACUUUAAGGACUCAUAUUACAACUUCGAGAACUAAUAUUACUAGUUUGAGGACUCAAUUUACAAAGUUGAUGCACCGCAUCAUUCACAUACAUUAACACACUAGCCUUACCCGUUUAAUUCCUCUUAUAUUUUAGAACAUUUAGCCCAAUCUUACUCUCAACUCUAUUGUAAGAACCCACCCCGAAUUUUACCCUAAAACCCGGAGUAAAUCCUGCGGGGACCACCUCCAAGGAAGAUAUUACCGAAAAUUCGGCAUAACCUCCCAUGAAAAUGGACAACCCUUCCUAACGAAAACCUGCAAACACUCCUAAAAAUUCUCAAGCCAACCUUAACUUCUAGAGCCUACGUGCUCCCCAAAAACAACCACCACCAAUAACAAUAAAAAGAUCAACUUCCAGAUCAAUCACAUAAUUAUCCCGCUAAAAUAGCAUACAUCUUCCUUGAAAUAUUCUAAAUGUAAUCAAGCCUUCGUCCACAACCGAAAUAAUGUCAUACAAUAUUCCCAAGGGAAAAUCAGAGCUACUAGACACUAGAGGAAGCAAGAAAAACACUGGUAAGUUAAAUAGAUAACCUACUGAUGAAAGGUGGUGGAAAUGCGGGUGACUCUGCCUCGCCAUCUACUAGAUCUAACCCGAACUCUGCAGACUGGGCAUUUUUAAAAAGAAGGGCCCAGGGGAAGACAUUUGAAACCGUUAGAGUGAGUGGACAAAAAUAAAUUUAAAAAGAAAAUAAAUCUUUAUACUUUCCCGAUUUAACUUCUGUGGAAAAACAAUUAACGAUAUGCAACAAGCUCAAAAGCUUUUAAAAAUUUACCGAAUUUACCGAAACGUGACUAGCCGCGCUAGUCACCAACACUUCAUAAAAAUAGAGCCUCUCAGGCUAAAAUAAAAUAUGUAAGUAUUACACUCGUCAUAUCCCUUGUAUGAAUUUUUUGAAACAACAAAGACAAAUAGAAAAUUCACACAAGGUUACGACGCUUGCGUCUAACGCUCACGUCGUACCAUAAUGGCAUUUUACCUCAUUAUGGUGGAAAAGACGUUGUAUAAAUAUAUACGCGCAUAUCCCCUAUAUAAAUUAUUAUAUUUAUAUAGGGCUACGACGAUUGCGUCUAACGCUCACGUCGCACCAUAAUGACAUUUUACCUCAUUAUGGUGGAAAAGCAUGUAUAGCUAGCUAGCAUUCCUUCAUAUACAUAUUAUUCUCAUAAUCAUCCAAAUAUGGAUAUGUAUAUAUAUAUAUACUCACCGAAAUUCUCAAUUUCGGUUAUUCUCCAACAACAUAAAUUAUUUCGCAUGCACAUUAUUUAAAACAAAAGUCCACUCACAAAUUAGGCCUAAGCCUGAUGUCGAUGCCUCCUCACGACAUGUUCCAAAUAUAAUAUUAAUUUCCUAGCUGAAAUUCCAAUAUUUACACAAAAUAGGCAAAAAUUAACCGAGAGCCCUAAACACGCUCAUCAUUGCCUAACUUCGAAAUUGUCCACACCUCAACCCUAGAACCAGCAGCCGUAACUACACUUUCUCACAGUUUAAACAACUUUAAUCCAACGGCCAGAUUCUACAUUAAUUAACUGCCAAAAAUACCAAACUUCGGAAAUUUACAAACCUAACAAAAACUCCUCCAAAAAUUCCAUAAUUCACAUCAAUAAACUCCCCUUAAUAUUCCACAUCUAAAACCAUUAAAAUCUCCCAAACAGCGGCGGCCGGAGGCCGACUCCGGCGACUUCCAAUGCCAAUGAAAUUUUGACAGCAUCUUCCUCUCAACCCCUUAUACAACUUUCCUAACUAGCACAAACAUCAAUUCCAAGCCUAACUAGGGCAAUCGAGCAAAAACAACACAAAAAGCCCUAGAGCUUCCACUCACCGGUUCUACUCACCUUAAGCAAACUGGACCGAGUCCUUCUAGGGCAAGGCAACUAGGUUGGAGACCUUCAAAACCAUAUAAGGCUUGCCCGGAUUGGUGGCCGGAGGAGGAAGUUCCGGCGAGAAAACCACCACGACAGCUAGCGUUUCCGGGCGUCGUUUCUCUCUCACGGCGGCGCUAGGGGGGCUGUCAUUAGUCCAUGGAGGUAGCUGGGUUGAAGGCUGACCGAACGGGACCGGACCGGUGGCGGAUGGUGGCCGGACGGCGACGGACGGACGGCGAGAAGAUCCGACAGCGGGAGAGGGAGUGAGUCGGGAGGGAGAGAAGAAGAGAGAGAGAGAAGAAAUGAGGUUUGGGUCUCCACCAAACCGAUCCAACCCUUUAAAACAAAACCCAACUCUAAAAUUUACACCUCAAAAAUAAUACCCUAAUAAAAAUUACCUUUUACUAGCUAAAAAUUUACCAUUUUUUACCGUCGUUAAUAUUUUCUCCUACGAAUAAUCCUCUGAAAAUAACCGUCCCCUAAACCCCUCUAGGGACCAAUUCAACUAUAACCUCAAUGACGGAGACGGUAAAAUUCUUAUUAUAACCAAGCUAGUAAAUAAGGUAAAAAUUUAAGGGUCGGGAUGUGACAUUUAUUGUCACAUGCACCUUGACCCGGAAAUUGAGAAUAAUUUUUUUUUUCCAGGGUAAGGACGUGAAUAGCCUCGAUUUGUCAAAAGAUAAGAGAGAACCUUUGACAAAUAAAAGCUAUGUGAAAAACUUUAUUUCAUAAGUAUUGUUCUCACAACAAACAGGAAAGUAGCCUGAUUACACAAACUUAAAUAAAAAACAGUAAGCUAUAGAUUCACUCCUCCUCCUAGACUUCAGAUUCUUUCUAGACAUCAAGUCUUAUCCCUCAAGUGUAACAUCUGAACAAAUUCAUAAAGGGGUGAGCCAAAAGACUCAGUAGAGCAAAUCUCAUGCACAUAAUUUCAAUAUUAGUGUAUGCACAUAAUUUUAUGUUUCAGUUGCUGGUACUCUUGUACUCUUCUUGGUCACCAGUGUCUUCUUACCAUAAGAUCGUUUUAUUAAUAUAACAUUGAAAGGGCUUUUCUCCCUACAUGUAUAUAGAGAAAUUUUUCUGUCCUCCAGGAGGACCACGUCAACAUGCCUAGUGGUCAUCUUUGGCCAAUAGGAAGCGGUUAUGUAGUAUUUUUUGACAUGUAAUAAUAAAGUAAAAUAAUUACUGUAUUUAACUUAAGUAAAUCCAACCUUUUCUUUUAAAAAAAACUGAAGGAAAACCAAA
rnacentral:lncRNA from 1 species